rnacentral:rRNA from 1 species
UACAGAGGUCUCAAGCGUUGUUCGGAAUUACUGGGCGUAAAGGCUCGUAGGCGGCCAACUAAGUCAGACGUGAAAUCCCUCGGCUUAACCGGGGAACUGCGUCUGAUACUGGAUGGCUUGAGAUUGGGAGAGGGAUGCGGAAUUCCAGGUGUAGCGGUGAAAUGCGUAGAUAUCUGGAGGAACACCGGUGGCGAAGGCGGCAUCCUGGACCAACACUGACGCUGAGUGAGCGAAAGCCAGGGGGAGCAAACGGG